GAGCCUGAUGUGGGGCUCCAUCCCAUAACGCCGGGAUCAUGCCCUGAGCCGAAGGCAGACGCUUAACCGCUGUGCCACUCAGGUGCCCCUGUUAUACAAAUUUUUAAUAAAUCUCUAUCUGCAGUGCUUAGCAAGAUACUCUUUGCAUCUGGUAUUGACUACACUCUGUGGGGCUGCCUGUUAACCAGUUGCCUCCUUAUGAUCACGGUGAAGAAAAUAAUACGGAUACCAAGAGCCGCAAUCACCAUGCCCAUAGUGCAGGUGUGCCUUCACACAUGGGCAGUGCACGGACCCUGGGGAAGGGUGUUUUGACUGCACUGAACACUUGCCGCUUCCAGAUCAAAGCUUCUACAGGCUUCCAGCUGAAAUACACAGUAACAAUUGUGCUUCCAUGCACUCAGGAUAUGUCCAGGACUCACACAGACAAUCUCUCGGCUACGGAAUGAGGAUAAUUUCAAAACACAGGAGUCACUGAUACAGUGUUUGGGAGAACUGAAGAGCUUUCCUGUAUCAGGUGCCCUGCCCGGAUACUCAUGACGCAAAAACACUUCGCACUCCCAUUGGGUGUUGGGUUUCUGGAGAAUCCAAUCAGCGGCACCGCGGUUCCAGGGUCUACAGUAGUCGCCAGACCCGCGAGGACUCAGCUACUUCUCAGACCCUGAGAGUCUGGGUCAUGGGCCCCCGAACCCUCGUCCUGCUGCAGUCGGGGCCCUGGUCGUGACCGAGACCUGGGCGGUCAAGGCCCAAAAGGAACCACUGCCCCCGGCACUGGGCACUGAUGCCACUGUCCACACCACUGCAUCUGAGGCCAGGACUGCUGUCGCUGCUGCUCCUGGCAGCUGGGAGACACGACGGCCACUCACGCCCCUUGUGCUAAAUGCAUGCAGCCCUGACCCAGCUUCUGUGUCGCCACGUCCUGAGUCAGAGUCUGGCAUGUGGUCACCUGACUGGUGGAGCCUCAGGCCCUGUCCCCCUGCAACAAUGUGUGACAUCCCGACUUUGAUCUGGAUUCCUGGGGAGUGACCACCAACACCCUUGGACUUGAACUUCCCCAUUUAGUCUGGUCUCUGUGUUCCUAGUCACAGGCCUGUGAGAGGCCACGCAUUCAAGUGGUUCCCAAGGUCACCCCUGUUGUAGGCAGGCUCCGAGAUGGCUCCAGCGUUCCCAUCCCCCAGUAUUCCUGCCCUUGUGUAAUACCCACUUUGGGACCAGAAGCUGGACAUAGUGACUUGCUGGUGACACAUAGACCAGGGUGAAGUCAUGCAGUGAGCAUUUGGAAUCACCAGGAGACAAGAGAUGAGGCACCUGGAGUCUACAGUCUCAAGGUGGGCCAUCCAAGCCAGGCUGGCCACAGGAAGUCCUGCUUCUCCAGUCCAUCUCCUCCCUCCAUGAAGUGCGUACUGGCCUCCCAUCUCUGCUGGUGUGGCAGCAACGAUGAGACAACCAUGGAUGGCAGAGGCUCCAUGUCCAAACUUGUCAUUGUCAUUGUCCUAGCCAUCCUGUCAUGGCCCCAGGGUCCCGCUUUCCUCCGAGCUCCCAGUUACCAUGACCUGCAGGGUAGGGGGUCUGCCCACCUCUUCCCCAGGACCAGCAGUGUCCCUCGGGGCAGUGCAUGCCUCCAAAGGCCCCCCAGCAUUUGUCCCUGUGCCCCACCCCCACUAGAUUCUCCUCGGGAAACAUUCACCAUCUAGACUAUGUUACUGUGAUACAGGACGAAGGACGUGUUUGGUCUUGCUCCUCAGUUCCUGCACACAGCUCUUAACACCUUUGUUACUGCCUACAUAAGAAGAGUCAUGGGAACACCUCUACUUGGUAUUGUUCCCAGAUCCUGAAAAAGCUCUGGAAAGAUCCUGGUCCCAUCCUUCCACACUGUACCAAACUCCACCAUGUACUGUCUCUCUGCUCUGAUGCUGUGAGCCCUUAGAAGCCAGGACUCGGUCGGUGCCUGAAACAUAAGCGUCUGGCAA